GGUUCGAUGGUGUAGUUGGUUAUCACGUUCGCCUCACACGUUCAUCACGUGAUUAGAUCGCGAAAGGUCCCGAGUUCGAGCCUCGGUUGAAUCA